rnacentral:lncRNA from 1 species
GUAGACAGGCUCAGAGACCAGCAACACCUCCAUCUUACUGACAGAACAGGUAGACAGGCUCAGAGACCAGCAAGAAGUACAGCAACACCUCCAUCUUACUGACAGAACAGGUAGACAGGCUCAGAGACCAGCAACACCUCCAUCUUACUGACAGAACAGGUAGACAGGCUCAGAGACCAGCAAGAAGUACAGCAACACCUCCAUCUUACUGACAGAACAGGUAGACAGGCUCAGAGACCAGCAACACCUCCAUCUUACUGACAGAACAGGUAGACAGGCUCAGAGACCAGCAACACCUCCAUCUUACUGACAGAACAGGUAGACAGGCUCAGAGACCAGCAACACCUCCCUCCUACUGACAGAACAGGUAGACAGGCUCAGAGACCAGCAACACCUCCAUCUUACUGACAGAACAGGUAGACAGGCUCAGAGACCAGCAAGAAGUACAGCAACACCUCCAUCUUACUG